GUCCACGCUGUAAACGAUGGGUGCUGGGUGCUGGGAUGUAUGUCUCGGUGCCGUAGCUAACGCGAUAAGCACCCCGCCUGGGAGUACGGUCGCAAGGCUGAAACUCAAAGAAUUGACGGGGCCCGCACAAGCGGUGGAGUAUGUGGUUUAAUUCGAUGCAACGCGAAGAACCUUACCCAGGCUUGACAUCUAGGGAACCCUUCGGAAAUGAAGGGGUGCCCUUCGGGAGCCCUAAGACAGGUGCUGCAUGGCUGUCGU
rnacentral:rRNA from 1 species